rnacentral:tRNA from 1 species
UAUUAGCUUAGUUGGUUAGAACGUCGUGCUAAUAACGUGAAGGUCGCGGGUUCGAUCUCCAUAAA